AGGGGUCAGGAGUAAACAACUUAUUUACUGAUAUUUCCCGAACAUCAGCCAGCACCUUUCCAUGAACAAAUUUCUAAUGUGUCCAUUACUGUGGUCGCUAUCUGACAAACGAGGGUUGGAGGAGUACCUGGCGGGGCUGGUGUGCAGAGGCUACUGCCUAUGAUGCUGACCAAUAGCCUCUCAUGGUUUCCUUGUACUCCCUCAUCUGCCGGGUUUCCUGACGGUGGAAAGAACAGGAAGCAAAAAUGCUGAAGCAGUGCCACAGAAAAGCUGCUUUUACAGCACUUCUGACUUGGCUGAAAUCAGAUUCCUUAUCAAGGCCGUAUCUCAGUGUUCUAGUCUGGAGGUUCUGGAAGGCACUCCAAGCCCCUUCAGCAAGGUGAAAUCAAAGCUGUGUGAAAUCGACUGAUAAGUUGGAGAAGCCAUAAGAACUACGAAAACAAGGGUUUUUUUUGUGUUGUUUUGUUUUUUGCAAGAGAAGCCCCAUAAACAUAUUUCCCAUUAUCUGCUUACAGUAGCUAAUGCAAGACAGAAUGCUCUCUAUCGUGUUUGGAGGAGUAGUCUAUAUACCCCCUAGAUCAGAGGUUCCAGGACCCUUCGGGGGGGGGGGGCACUCCCAGCCCUGCCCACACCCCUAGCUGUGGCCCUAGCCUCGGCCCCCUUACUCCUGUCUGCAUCCCUUCCCCCAUAAGCCGUGGCACCACUCCUGGCCCCGACUGGGAGGAGCAAGGACAGGAUAGGGCUGCUAACUUUCUAUCGUACAAAACCGAACACCCCUGCCCCGCUCCCUUCCCCGAGGCCUUGCCCCUGCCCCACCCCUCCUCUGAGGUCCUGUCCCCACUUGCUCCAUCCCCCUCCCUCCGUCGCUCAUCUUCCCCCACCCUCACUCACUUUCACUGGGCUGGAGCAGGAGGUUGGAGCUACUUCAUACUCAAAGAUCUGUGGUGAGAAUUUG